UGCCAGCCGCCGCGGUAAUACGGAGGGGGUUAGCGUUGUUCGGAAUUACUGGGCGUAAAGUGUACGUAGGCUGCGCGGAAAGUCAAAUGUGAAAGCCAAGGGCUCAACCCUUGAACUGCAUUCGAUACUCCCGUGCUAGAGUAAUGGAGAGGUAAGUGGAAUUCUCGGUGUAGCAGUGAAAUGCGUAGAUAUCGAGAGGAACAUCAAUGGCGAAGGCAACUUACUGGACAUUUACUGACGCUCAGACACGAAGGCUAGGGGAGCGAAAGGGAUUAGAUA
rnacentral:rRNA from 1 species